rnacentral:rRNA from 1 species
GUCUUUUUGAAAAUAAUUUAAAGUCAAAUCUGCCCACUGAAUUUAUUUAAAGGGCUGCAGUAUAUUGACUGUACAAAGGUAGCAUAAUCAUUAGUCUUUUAAUUGAAGACUUGUAUGAAUGAUUUGAUGAGAUAUAAACUGUCUCUUUAUUAAAAAUAGAAUUUAAUUUUUUAGUUAAAAAGCUAAAAUUAUUAUAAAAGACGAGAAGACCCUAUAGAGUUUAAUAUUUUUAGAAAAUUAAAUUUUAUAUAAAUUUUUAGAUUUAAUUUUCUAGACAUAUUUUGUUGGGGUGAUAGAAAAAUUUAAGAAACUUUUUUUAAAAAAUUAACAUUAAUUUAUGAAUUUUUGAUCCAUAAUUUAUGAUUAUAAGAAUAAAUUACCUUAGGGAUAACAGCGUAAUUUUUUUUUUUAGUUCAAAUAAAAAUUAAAGUUUGCGACCUCGAUGUUGGAUUAAGAUAAAAUUUAAAUGCAAAAGUUUAAAAUUUUGAUCUGUUCGAUCAUUAAAAUCUUACA